CAUAGUGGUGUGAGCUCCUGAGGCUGCCAGCAGCCAGCAGUGACUGCCCGCCCUAUCUGGGACCCAGGAUCGCUCUGUGAGCAACUUGGAGCCAGAGAGGAGAUCAACAAGGAGGAGGAGAGAGCCGGCCCCUCAGCCCUGCUGCCCAGCAGCAGCCUGUGCUCGCCCUGCCCAACGCAGACAGCCAGACCCAGGGCGGCCCCUCUGGCGGCUCUGCUCCUCCCGAAGGAUGCUUGGGGAGUGAGGCGAAGCUGGGCCGCUCCUCUCCCCUACAGCAGCCCCCUUCCUCCAUCCCUCUGUUCUCCUGAGCCUUCAGGAGCCUGCACCAGUCCUGCCUGUCCUUCUACUCAGCUGUUACCCACUCUGGGACCAGCAGUCUUUCUGAUAACUGGGAGAGGGCAGUAAGGAGGACUUCCUGGAGGGGGUGACUGUCCAGAGCCUGGAACUGUGCCCACACCAGAAGCCAUCAGCAGCAAGUGCCCAGCCCUGGAUAGGCAGUGCGGCUGAAAAAAUGUCCUGGUGAAAGGGAGGAGGAGCUCACUGAAGACCUUCUGCUCCCAAGUGUGAGACUAGAACCCAGGCCUCCAGCCUUCUCACAGGUGCCCUUCCAGGACAUCGUGUGGCUACUCCAGGCAGCAUUCCUCCAUUGCAAGCAGGGAGGAGUAUCUCUGCUUCCCUCUGUGACCUCCCAAUUGCACAGAGGCCUCUAGUGACAAGUUCUGAAGUCAUGCAGUCCUCCCCUGUCUCCAAGCAGGAGACCCUGAAUCCACAGCCUUCAGGGACAUACAGUCCCUGAACACCUACCUCAUGCAGGCAUAGAGCCUGGUACUUCACACACCUUGGAGUCCUCAUGGCAAGUUUUUGAAAUCAGUGUUAUUACCUACUUUUUGUAGAUGAGGAAGCUGAGAUCUGGAGAGGCUAAGUGACUUUCCCAGGGCCAUACGGUGAGUUAAGGUGGUGUUUAGGCUGAAGUCUGCCUGACUCUAAAGGCUUACCUCGUGCUCCCCGGGAAGCUCCCAGUCAGAUAAGAGCCUGGUAUUGGAACUGUCACCCGGAGGACAGGCUGUCAGAGCUGGUAGGCUACUGGAUACCAUCCAGCCCAACUUCCCCUCCCUCACUGUACAGACAGGGAAACUAAGGCACAGAGAGAGUCUGGGGACGCAGCCGAGG
rnacentral:lncRNA from 10 species